rfam:Hordeum vulgare subsp. vulgare, WGS project CAJW01000000 data, contig: morex_contig_345369
UUAGUACUACCUCCGUCCGGAAAUACUUGUCCUAGAGAUGACUAUAUCUAGACUUAUUUUAGUUAUAUAUACAUCCAUUAUAUUCAUUUCUACGACAAGUAUUUUCGGACGGAGGGAAUAUAUG